rnacentral:rRNA from 1 species
AUGUUCAUCAACACUUACCUGACGGAGAUUAAAGCAACAACACAAGCUAGCAAUGGUAAUGAGCCAGGUCAACCGGCCCCUGCUAGAUGGAUAGCACCGCCGGAGAACCACGCAAAGCUAAACGUCGAUGCAUCGGUAAGCAGGGGAGGCAGCUUCGGAGCAGUGGGAGCAAUAUGCAGAGAUCAUGCGGGGAUGUUCUUGGGUGCGUCGGCAAUGCGCUUCAGAUUGGGAGAUCCAGCUACCCUUGAGACUCUAGCCAUUAGAGAAGGACUGGACUUGUGCAGGGAUUUGAACUUGCAACAUAUUCAUGCUGCGUCUGACUGUAAAGGAGUAGUCCAAGAGGUACAAAAGGGCAGCGGAGCGACUUAUGGAGCGAUUAUCCAAGAAAUCAAGCAACAAUUCUCUUUUUUCACUUCAUGUAAUUUAGUUCAUGAGUCUAGGAGAUCGAAUGUCAAUGCUCACAACUUAGCGAGACAUGCACUGUCACUAGCGUCGGGGUGCCAUGUGUGGUUUGGCCAGCCCGACGGGAUUCCUUUGGUCCUUGUAAACAGUGUGACGAGUUAA